rnacentral:rRNA from 1 species
UACGUAGGUGGCGAGCGUUGUCCGGAAUCAUUGGGCGUAAAGCGCGCGUAGGCGGCCCGGUAAGUCCGUUGUGAAAGUCAAAGGCUCAACCUUUGAACGCCGAUGGAUACUGCCGGGCUAGAGUCCGGAAGAGGCGAGUGGAAUUCCUGGUGUAGCGGUGGAAUGCGCAGAUAUCAGGAGGAACACCAAUAGCGAAGGCAGCUCGCUGGGACGGUACUGACGCUGAGGCGCGAAAGCGUGGGGAGCGAACAGG